rnacentral:lncRNA from 1 species
UCAUUCUUUCUAAAGUUCUUUUCUGUAAUGAUGAUCACAACUUAUCCAUAAGACUUGUAUUCACAUUCUCCCCGUAAUCAAUCCAAUAAUCUUGAGACUUUCCUUCCUUUUACCCAACAUUGUCAGUGGAGCUCACUCAGUAUCUACCAGUCAUCCCUUGUUCCUAGCAUGUGACCAACCCAUCUUUUCUUCUGUCACGUAAUUUUCUUGUUGACACCUUUACUUGUAUUCUUCUGUAAUAAAUCAACAUUGCUGUAUCUUUGACCUCUUCUUGCCAUAAAGCAAUACCAGUAAUAUAGGUGAACUGAAAAUGUGGACCUUUGUGUUUAUGUGAAGCUUGGGUUGGAAAAAGUGCUGACCAAUUUUACAAAAGCAAUUCAGUCUGCUAAUGUCUACCUGUUAAACUCUAAUCCCAGUUGAUUGGAUAUAUGGAUUUUCAGAUCCUUGUGUGUGUAAUGUGUAUAUAAUGUGUGUACAUAUAAACACAUACAUAUAUACAUGUACAUAUGUAUGUACUCAUACACAUAUAUGCAUACCUACAUACCUACACACACAUACACGCACACGCACACACACACACACACACACACACACACACACACAUAUAUAUAUAUAUAUAUAUAUAUAGUUGAUAUUAAGUCAUUUCAGUCAUGUUUGAUUCUUCAUGACCCAAUUUUGGACUUUCCAUGGCACAGAUACUGGAGUAGUUUGCCUUUUCCUUCUCCAAUUCUUUUCAUAUAUGAGAAACUGAAACAAAAAGUGUUAAAUGACUUCCUUAGGGUCACAUAGCUAGUCAGUAUCUGAAGUUGGAUUUGAGAUUAUAAAGAUGAGUGUGAUUCUAAGCCUAGAGCUCUAUCCACUCUAUAACCCAGCCCUCUCUCUGUUUCUCUCUCUCCUCUGUCUCUUUGUUUGUCAUCUCUCUCUGUCUCUCUGUCUUUCUGUCUCUCUGUCUCUCUGUGUCUCUGUCUCUAUCUCUUUCUCUCUCUGUCUCUCUGCCUCUUUAUUCUGUCUCUGUAUCUGUUUCUCUUUCCUCCAUCUCUGUCUCUUUCUUUCUGUCUCUCUGUCUCCCUUUCUGUCCCUUUCUCUAUGUCUCUGUCUCUGUCUCUGUGUCUCUUUUUCUGCCUCUGUCCUCUCUCUGUCUCUCUAAAUAUAUGUGUGUAUGUUUAUAUGUGAAUGUAUCCAUGUCAUAAUACCUUUUAAAGGGCCUUUUAUAUUUAGUGCUAGAAAGAAACAAAUAUGUGUAGAGUGUUUUUAUUUAAAGAAAGAAGAUUUUUAUUAACUACAAAGGAUGUACAAUGAGCAUUUUGAUAAGUAAACAAAGCAGCAAGUGCCUCUGUUUAUUUUUAAAACCUUAUAUAUGUGUAUGAAAGCAUUACUAUAUUCAAAUGGAGUUUAAACAGUUUUAGACAAUGAAGGAACUGUGAUAGAAUUAUAAAGAUUCAACAUUUUUUGUUAAAAAGGAAUACUGACACUUUGUGUGGGGAAAAUAGCAUGCUAUAGAAACGUAGAAAAGGUCUUUCCUUUUUAGAACACUGGAAAAAAUAUGAGAAAAAGAAUCAUUUUUUUUUUCUGGGACAACAAGGAAGUUUUGGACCAUAUUAAAGUCUUAAGAGCUCUAAGAAAUUCAAGUGUCAUCAUUAAUUUCAUAUAGUAGUUUAAUGGCAACAGUGGGUAGAGGUUAUGAAAUGAUUUAAAAGAGAAGUUUCUAUUUGAUAAGUUGAAUGAGAAGAGGAAUGAUGAUAUAGUGGGUACAAACAUAGAACUUAGUGUUAGGAAGAUAUGAGUUCAAAACCAAUCUUUGGUACUUAUUAGCUGUAUGGCCCUGGAAAAGUGACAAUAUUUCUCAGCCUCGGAUUCCUCAUCUGUAGAUAAUAGCAUCUUCUUUAUAGAAUUAUUUUGAGGAUCAAAUGUGAUGACUUGUAUAAUGCCUUGCAAAAAAUUAAAGUGCUAUAAAAUGAUAGCUAUUAGAUAAUGAUGAUGAGGAUUCAAAUAGUGAACAUUUACCAAGG